rnacentral:rRNA from 1 species
AUCAUAUGCUAGUCUCAAAGAUUAAGCCAUGCAAGUGUAAGUACAAGCAAGUUUGUACUGCGAAACUGCGAAUGGCUCAUUAAAACAGUUAUAAUCUAUUUGAUGAUCACUUACUACUAAAUGGAUAACCGUAGUAAAUCUAGAGCUAAUACAUGCGCCAAAUCUCUUGUUUCAAGAGAUGUAUUUAUUAGAUUUAAACCAACUCAGGGAACUUUGUUCGCUGAUGAUUGAUGAAUCACAAUAACUGUUUGGAUUGCAACGGCUCUUCGCCGGCAAUAGAUCAUUCGAAUUUCUGCCCUAUCAGCUUGUUGGUAGGAUAGAGGCCUACCAAUGCAUUAACGGGUAACGGAGAAUUAGGGUUCGAUUCCGGAGAGGGAGCCUGAGAAACGGCUACCACAUCCAAGGAAGGCAGCAGGCGCGCAAAUUACCCAAUCUCGACUUGAGGAGGUAGUGACAAUAAAUAACGACAUAGGCACUUCAUGUGUUUAUGAUUGGAAUGAGUUUAAUUUAAAUCCCUUUUCGAAAGCAACUGGAGGGCAAGUCUGGUGCCAGCAGCCGCGGUAAUACCAGCUCCAGUAGCGUAUUGUAAAGUCGUUGCAGUUAAAAAGCUCGUAGUUGGAUUUCUGGCCAGAAAAGCCUGUUUUCCCCUAAGCGGGCUUGCAAACGGUGCUUUUUGGUCAUCCUUCGUGGCGAACAGUUAGUGUAUUUAUUUAUGCUGGUUGCGAGCCCGAUCAAUUACUUUGAAAAAAUUAGAGUGUUCAAAACAAGCUUACGCGUUUGAAUACCUUAGCAUGGAAUAAUAAGUAGGACUUUGGUUCUAUUUUGUUGGUUCAAGAACCUAGAGUAAUGAUUGAAAGGGAAUUUUGGGGGUGCUUGUAUUCAAUGGCCAGAGGUGAAAUUCGAUGAUUCAUUGAAGACAAACUAAUGCGAAAGCAUUCACCAAGGGUUUCUUCUUUAAUCAAGAACGAAAGUUGGGGGAUCGAAGACGAUCAGAUACCGUUGUAGUCUCAACCAUAAACUAUGCCGACUGGGGAUUGGUCGAAAAUGUUUUGAUUCGAUCAGCACCCUAUGGGAAAUCAAAGUUUUUGGGUUCCGGGGGGAGUAUUAUCGCAAGAUUGAAACUUAAAGGAAUUGACGGAAGUGCACAACAAGGCGUGGAGCCUGCGGCUUAAUUUGACCCAACGCGGGAAAACUUACCAGGUCCAGACAUAGUAAGGAUUGACAGAUUGAAGAUCUUUCUUGAUUCUGUGGAUGGUGGUGCAUGGCCGUUCUUAGUUGGUGGAGUGAUUUGUCUGCUUAAUUGCGAUAACGAACGAGACCUCAGCCUGCUAAUUAGAACAUCUAUACCUACGGGUAUGGUAUGUACUUCUUAGAGGGACUGCUAUUGGUGAGAUAGAGGAAGCGUGAGGCAAUAACAGGUCUGUGAUGCCCUUAGAUGUUCUGGGCCGCACGCGUGCUACACUGGCAGUUUCAACAAGC